GGUCGGGGGCUGGGGGCCAGGGGCCGAGAGGAAGCCCAGGGGACACCGCCAGUCCUGGGGGCCAGCUAGAGAGAACACCCUCCUUCACUGCUGAAUGGGAGGAGAUUGAUAAGAUAAUGAGCUCCAUUGGGGCUGGCAUCAGCACUGGCACGAGCUCAGAAGGGAUCAAGGAGAAUAAUGCAGGUCCCCGGUGCCCCAUGCAGUCUGUGGGCCAAUGGCUGGACAGCAUUGGACUGGUCCAAUACGAGAACCACCUACUGGCCAACGGCUUCGACAACGUGCAGUUUAUG